rnacentral:rRNA from 1 species
ACAUACGACCAUAUCCACAAGACAAUUCGGGAUCCCGUCCGCUCUCCCCUAGACAAGCUUGUGAGAGCCAGAUUAGUAGUUAGGUCGGUGACGACUAGCGAAUCCCUGGUGUUGUAUGUU